rnacentral:rRNA from 1 species
UACAGAGGGGGCAAGCGUUGUUCGGAAUUACUGGGCGUAAAGGGCGCGUAGGCGGCCUGUUAAGUCGAACGUGAAAUCCCCGGGCUCAACCCGGGAACUGCGUCCGAUACUGGCAGGCUUGAAUUCGGGAGAGGGAUGCGGAAUUCCAGGUGUAGCGGUGAAAUGCGUAGAUAUCUGGAGGAGCACCGGUGGCGAAGGCGGCAUCCUGGACCGAGAUUGACGCUGAGGCGCGAAAGCCAGGGGAGCAAACGGG